rnacentral:tRNA from 1 species
GCCCUUGUAAUCUAGUCCGGUCAAGGAUCCCGGCCUCUCAAGCCGGAAACCCGGGUUCAAAUCCCGGCGAGGGCA